CUACGGGGUGCUGCAGGCGCGGAACCUUUACAAUGCACGAAAGUGUGAUAAGGGGAUCCCAAGUGCCUUGCUUUUAGCAAGGCUUUUGCCAUAUGUAAAAAGUAUGGAGAAUAAGUGGUGGGCAAGACUUGUGCCAGCCGCCGCGGUAACACCAGCGCCACAAGUGGCAACCGCUUUUAUUGGGCUUAAAGCGUCCGUAGCCGGUUGAGUAAAUUUCCUGUGAAAUCGUUGGGCUUAACCUAACGGCAUGCAGGAAAGACUACUAAACUAGAGACCGGGAGGCGUCAGAGGUAUUCCGGAGGGAGCGGUAAAAUGCUAUAAUCUCCGGAGGACCACCAGUGGCGAAGGCGUCUGACGAGAACGGAUCCGACGGUGAGGGACGAAAGCUAGGGGAGCAAACCGGAUUAGAUACCCGUGUAGUC
rnacentral:rRNA from 1 species